AUGCUAAAUAUCAACACCAAAACCUGCUGCUAUAUUAACCCAGAUCUGCAUAAAAUUCAAACAAAAACCGAACUAAACAUAAACCAGUUGCAUCCACAAACAUGUGCACAAAACCAAUCCGAUCACAUAAACCGUGACUACAUAACAAAGCCCAAAAACCGGUUCACAUGUAAACUGCCAUUCACCUGA